rnacentral:rRNA from 1 species
GACGAACGCUGGCGGCGUGCUUAACACAUGCAAGUCGAACGGAAAGGCCUGCUUUCCCUUGUGGAUUGCGGGUACACGAGUGGCUAACGGGUGAGUAACACGCGCCUGAUCUUCCCCCAACUUGGGUAUAAGCCUGGGAAACUUGGUCUAAUUUCCUAUAGGGCUUCAGGGUGGUUCCUGUGGUUGACAGCGGGUGUCUAGUGUUUGGGGAUGAGCUCGCGGCCUAUCAGCUUGUUGGUGGGGUAAUGGCCUACCAAGGCGGUGACGGGUAGCCGGCCUGAGAGGGUGGCCGGCCACACUGGGACUGAGAUACGGCCCAGACUCCUACGGGAGGCAGCAGUGGGGAAUAUUGCACAAUGGGCGGAAGCCUGAUGCAGCGACGCCGCGUGAGGGAUGACGGCCUUCGGGUUGUAAACCUCUUUCAGUAGGGAGCAAGGAACCUGGUUGGAAGGGGGUUGACGGUACUGGUAGAAGAAGCGCCGGCUAACUACGUG